GCCCACACUGAGCCCUCAGCUGUGCCCACAUUGAGCUCUCAGCUGUGCCCACAUUGAGCCCUCAGUUGUGCCCACAUUGAGCCCUCAGUUGUGCCCACAUUGAGCCCUCAGUUGUGCCCACAUUGAGCGCUCAGCUGUGCCCAUGCUGAGCUCUCAGCUGUGCCCACAUUGAGCUCUCAGCUGUGCCCACAUUGAGCUCUCAGCUGUGCCCACGCUGAGCCCUCAGCCUCACCCCUGCAGCUGCAGCAGCCACAGCAGCGUCCCUUGGGCGCUGCUCACCUGGAAUUUUGCUGCAGACGCUGAUGAGCUGGCUUCAAGUCCAAGAGCUCUCCUUCACAAGUGGAAGAUAAAUAUUGCAUCACACGUGUUUGGAUGAUGGCUUCCAUCGCUGGAGAAGGCUGGGAGCUUGGUCAUUGCAGCUGUGCAUCCAGAUCAGCUGUUUCUUCUUGGGAUUUCUUCAUUUGUAGAGCAGGGUUGCUGAAGACAGGCUUAUAAGUUUUGAUGUUUAUGUGAACUGAGACAUUUUCAACAAGUAUUUUAUUCGUGAAAUUCAAUUCCUAAAUUUUUUUGAAGAAUAAUAACUUUUCAGCACCUUCAUUUCUGAAACAGUAUUUGUUCUAUUUCACUCAGUUAAAAUGAACUGCUGAUGAAGACUGGUAGUUUAACCUCCUGGGUCCUGUCUUAUAUAGAACUGUAUUUGACAAAAUCUGUUAUAAUAUGUUUUGAGUCUAUCACUAUAAGUGUCUUCUAAAAGCUGAUUAUAUCUAAGGAAAACGUGAAAUAUUCUAAAAGCAGAAAAUUCCUGAUGUGCCAAGGUUUGCCUGUAGUCAAUUUUAAAUUUUGCCUUUUUAUAUCUACCUGUUAUAAAGCUUUUUAAAAAGAAUUGGUGAGCACCACUGUGUUAUUUAGCUGGAUAUGCAGCUGAAAUGCAAAUAUUCAAAUAAAGAUGACAGCAUGAUAAUUUAGACUUGCUAAUUGCAAUUUCUUUUAUUGCUAUGUUAUUAUAAUAGUUUUUACUUUAAAUACAUUUUUUAAAUAGCUAUUGUUUGUGGCUUUCUGUGUGCUGGCUGAUAAUAUAAAGUUGAGUUUAAAUAAAAUGCCUUCCGUUCUGUAAACCUUA